GGCGAUCGAUGUCUUUGUCCAUCACGGCGUCUCCGUCUGCUGUGACAAUGAGGACCGGAGACAAAGAGCCGCUCCCUCAUUCCAACAUUGGAGUCCGAUGCGGCGGAGCGUUCAGCGGUGACCGAGGAAACAUGGAGCGCUGCGGGUCCGACACGGACGACACGCCGCUGCUUCCCCGCCGAAACGAAGACAAAGUCCAGAGAGCGCCGGCAUGCUGUUCGUCUCGUUACGGCCUGGCGCUGCUCUCCUCGUUCGGCUUCUUCGUGGUUUACUCCCUGCGGGUGAACCUCAGCGUGGCCAUGGUGGACAUGCUCAACACCACCCGCCAGUCCAGCACCAACCACAGCGGCUCCGUCUGUCCGGCUCACGCCAACCCGCCGCGGCCCAAACGCAACCACACGGCCGGCGUGUACGACUGGGACUCGGCGACUCAGGGCUGGAUCCUGGGCUCCUUCUUCUACGGCUACAUCCUGACGCAGAUACCCGGCGGCUACCUGGCCGGCCGCUACGGCCCCAAGUGGCUGAUGGGCUUCGGGAUCCUGGGAACCGUCGUUUUCACGCUGCUCACCCCCGCCGCCGCCGACCUGGGGGCCGGAUACCUCAUCGCCGUCCGGGUGCUGGAAGGGAUCGGAGAGGGCGUCACCUUUCCCUCCAUGUACACCAUGUGGGCGGCCUGGGCUCCUCCGCUGGAGAGGAGCCGACUGCUCACCAUCUCCUACAUCGGAGCUCAGCUCGGGACGGUGAUCUCGCUCCCGCUGUCCGGUGAGAUCUGCUUCUACCUGGACUGGACCUACGUCUUCUACGUCUUCGGUGCCGUCGGCCUGGUCUGGUUCGUCUUGUGGUCUUUCCUCGUCUUCGACAGUCCGAACACUCACCCGCGGAUUUCGGAGCAGGAGCGACUUUACAUCACCGGCUCGCUGAAGAACGAGCUGUCCACCUCGGCGGGACACAUCCCCUGGCGAGCCAUAGCCACGUCCACGCCGCUGUGGGCCAUCGUGGUCGCUCACUUCUCCUACAACUGGACCUUCUACACGCUGCUCACCCUGCUGCCCACCUACAUGAACGACGUGCUGGGAUUCAGCAUCCAGCAGAAUCCAACAUCAUUUCUUCUGUCACGCAUGAACAACGCGACGCUCAAACGCUCCUCAGAACGGUUUGCUGUCGGCUCUUCCGUACGUCGGCUGCGCCGUGUUGGCGGUUGUCAGCGGUCAGCUGGCGGAUUACCUGCGAGAGACCUGCCUCUACCGCACGGUGACGGUCAGGAAGUCCUUCUCCCUCGCCGGGAUGAUCGGGCCCGCCGUGUUCCUGGUGGCGGCGGGAUACACGGGCUGUAACUACACGCUGGCGGUGACCUUCCUCACCGUCUCCUCGGCUCUGGGCGGAAUCUCGGCCUCCGGCUUCAACAUCAACCACCUGGACAUCGCUCCGUCGUAUGCUGGCAUCCUGCUGGGAAUCACCAACACCUUUGCCACCAUCCCCGGCAUGGUGGGGCCGGUCAUAGCCCGAGCCCUCACCCGACAGAACACCAUGGAGGAGUGGCAGAGCGUCUUCUACAUCGCCGCCGCCAUCAACGCCUUCGGGGCGGCGUUCUACGCGCUGUUCGGCCGAGGGAGCGUGCAGCCGUGGGCCGUCCACGCCGCCUCCCACGGAGACUGAGGCGGGCUCUCGGAGCCAGAUGUGCUCCAGAUGUGCUGAUCGUCGGCGGCAACUUCUUCCUUCUGGACCAAACUUUUUUUAAUUUGUAGCAAAUUGAAUAUUUCUUUUAAAGGCAAAAAUCAGCAUUGACCGGCGGACGUGAAGCCGCUUCUCGUUUCAUUUUGAAGCUUCAGGUGAAUUAAGCCGCUUGGAUCGAUGAGACCAGAAGGUGACGAAUGUAAAACAGGGAUCGGCUUAGACGGGCGAAUGAUACCAGAGGUUUUAUUUAAAGCGCUAAACUAAACUUUUAGAAUAAAUAACGUACCCAACGAACACGUGUGAAGACAAGAAAGACUUAAACGUUAGUUUAUCUGCGUCUCAUUCGCCGUCGUGCCGACCGGCACUCGAUUGUUAUUUCUUCCUCCAGGUCACAUGAUACAGAUGCUCCUGAGCUGUUGCCAUAGUAACAGUCCAAACCGCCGAGGACGGUGAGACUUCAGGACGUUUGGGGGAAAUGCCUUAAAGGGAAGCUUCUUUAAAAUGUUCACGCUCUUUUGUCUUUGUUUACUUCUCAUCCGAUGCCGUUUUAAUGUGCACAACAAUUUGUAUCGUCUUGAUUGAACGUGUUUUAGUUCAGGCAGAUUUAUUUUCACUUCAACACUAAAGAUGUUGAACUUCUGUGACGAGGAUUUAAAGGGAUGUUUGUUUACUUUCUUUGCACACGCGUGUUAUACUGGACGCGUCUUCAUACAGAAGGGAAACAUUGUCUAGUUAAUUUCAUCCUGCAGGUUUCAGAGGCUUUAUUUGUAUUUCAUUAUAUGCAGUACACAAAGGGACUUUUCUAUGACGUUAAAUUUAUUGUAAAAACCUCAAUUACAACUACGCUUAAAUCUCCUUGUGUUAUUUCAUCAUAAAACCACCUGGAUUCUCAUUAUAAAGCUCUUUAUCCUGAUGGACAAGGAUGCAACACGUGCAAAAUAAACAUGUGAUGAAGCAGUGACAACGUUACUUCCUGAUUUGUUUAAAAUCUAAUUACUUUGCACUUCCAGGACGUGACUUAUGGCGGCUGUUUCUAGCGUCACAUGACCAUUUUCUUCAUGUAACGAUGACCCUAUUUUAAUGUUUACCUACUGAACAAUGUGCACAAAAGUAGAAUAAAGAAAUCCAGGAGAAGUGAAAAGAC